rnacentral:lncRNA from 1 species
GGUCAGUCCAUGUAUAGUCUUUGGGUAGUGGCUUAGUCCCUGAAGCUCUGGUUGGUUGGCAUUGUUGUUCAUAUGGGGUCUCAAGCCCCUUCAAGCUCUUUCAGUCCUUUCUCUGAUUUCUUCAACGGGGGUCCUGUUCUCAGUUCAGUGGUUUGCUGCUGGCAUUCGCCUCUGUAUUUGCUGUAUUCUGGCUGUGUCUCUCAGGAGCGAUCUACAUCCGGUUCCUGUCAGCCUGAACUUCUUUGCUUCAUCCAUCUUAUCUAGUUUGGUGGCUGUAUAUGUAUGGGCCACAUGUGGGGCAGGCUCUGAAUGGGUGUUCAUUCAGUCUCUGUUCUAAACUUUGCCUCCCUAUUCCCUGCCAAGGGUAUUCUUGUUCCCCUUUUAAAGAAGGAGUGAAGCGCAAGGCCCUGGGUUCGGUCCCCAGCUCUGAAAAAAUGAACCAAAAAAAAAAAAAAAAA